GUGCCAGCAGCCGCGGUAAUACGUAGGGUGCGAGCGUUAAUCGGAAUUACUGGGCGUAAAGCGUGCGCAGGCGGUAAGUCAAGUCUGAUGUGAAAGCCCCGGGCUCAACCUGGGAAUGGCAUUGGAAACUGGCUUGCUAGAGUGUGGCAGAGGGGGGUGGAAUUCCGCGUGUAGCAGUGAAAUGCGUAGAGAUGCGGAGGAACACCGAUGGCGAAGGCAGCCCCCUGGGCUGACACUGACGCUCAGGCACGAAAGCGUGGGGAGCAAACAGGAUUAGAUACCCUGGUAGUCC
rnacentral:rRNA from 1 species